GGGCGAGGUCCUGACUCCGGGCAGUGCGGCCUCUGCCCGCGGCUCCUCCGGGCGGCUGGUCCUGGGCAGGUCGUGCGUGGCCUCCAGGGUGCUGCCACCGUGGAACUCUCUGGAAGACUUCCGUUUGUCGGCUGAACGGUCGUGAGCAGCCGCGCCGCGCUGGGGGCCCUGUGGGAGAACAGCGCCGGUCAGUGCCCGCUGACCUGCAAGCCGCCGUGUCCAUCCGGGCCUGGCGUCGGGACUGCCAGCGCCUCGGUUGCAGAGCCCCCCAGGACCCUUUGAUGUCAUGACACCAACUUUCCUGCAUCGGAAUCACUUCCUCCCCUGGUCAGACGACGAGCAGAGUUGUGUGAACUUGUGAGUGCAGACAUGAAGGGGACACAUAAGUGAUGAACUCCCUGGGUGGAGCGGACCCCUGACCUGUGCCUGGGCUCUGUGUGCGCUGUGUGGGGGAUCUUGGAGGUCUGAGGUGAACUGAGAGCUCAGGCUUGCAGAAGCGUGGAGGUGUUUGGGUGAAGACGUGACCCUGAGCUCGGGAGACAGAUUGCCUAACGCCCGCUCUCGAGUGAGCAAGCCGGCAGCCAUGUGGAGGCAGCGCUGGACACCGCGGGGGAUGGUCAGCACGGCGAGAUUUCAUCACAGUGACAGCAGCUCGUGGCGCUGACCAUGGCCACUGUGCAGAAGCCAUAGCCGAGAGGCGGUCAGGGCUGUCCCGUGUGCCCUGCAGUGUCCCCAUUCUCGGGGUGCGGACACUGGGGCCCCGGGAAGGACAGAAUGUGCCUGGGUGUGGAUCCACCCUGGGGCCUGGCUGGGAAGCCCUGCACUGCCCACACACCACAGUCCACCCUCUGCAAACUUUCAGAGCCAGAUUCUUCUGAUCUAGCACAUGGCCCACAGUUCCUGCAAGAGAAGAUGUGUUUGGAGGUGACUGGUUCGGAGCUGCUUGGCUCACACCUCUGGAUCGCAGGGCAGACCCUCCUCUCUCCUGUGGCCUCUGCUUUUCUGAUACAAGCAGGGCCCCGCUGUCCUCUGAAGCCGAGGCUUUCACAGCACAGGAGCUGGCCCUGGGACACCCCAACCUAACAUUCCUGUUUGACUAGUUGUGGGAUAUAACUGCCUUCUUGGUUUUGAAAAGAUUUUCACGUGAACCCCACCCCACCCCCCAAACUAUGUUCCAACUCCUCUUCCCCAGUGCUCCUGACUCAUACACACUUUCCCUGCCAAACAGACUCAGCAACAGAGCCCAGGCUCUGUACCAGCUGGGGAUGAAAGGAUGCAUCAGAGUUUGGACUUCACGGGGAGGAGCACCCAUGGGCUUAGGAAGCCCCGACUCCCCACUCUCCACCAUUCCCUGCUCUCCUUGCCCUGGCUCCAGGGCUGUGUGCUGACUCCGGGGUCCUGCAGUUGUUGGGGGGACAGGGUGCCUCUGCGCAGUGAAGGGACAGGUCAAACUGUGAGCCCAUCCUCUGGACCCUCAGCUGGUGGGAGGCUCAUGGGUGCAUGCAGGACAGGCAGUAUUUCUGUGUGAUUCUCUGUCCGUGUGUCCUGGACUUGCUCUGCGUCUGCUCCCACUCUUUUGCAUGGUCCCUGUCACCCCACUGUGGCCGUGGUCAUGUGGGACCCUCCCAGCUGAGGCAGACUGCUUCCAGGCACCGCAGCCCCUCUCUUCCACAUGGCGUCCAACACACCAGCAUUUCCUCUGUGACAAUGUUUGUGGAUUGUUUCUCCUAGCUCACGAGGAGCAGGGCUCUGAGCUGUGUGCAUGGCUGGCCCACGGGCUGCCUUUCAGCAGCCGGCCCUGUCCAGACUGGAGAAACAGCGGCUGAGCAUACGUGUUCCAAACCAUUCCAUGACUCACAUGACAGAGCUAGAUCCUGAGUGUACUGCAGACUCUAGCCUGGGACUCCAGGGCUCUCCCUGGACACACUUUCUGCUCUGUUCCAAUUCCUCCCUGGGCUAUUGCCUCCAAGGCCCACACACCUUUCAGAAUAUGACUGGGGUAAGGCAAGUCUUUCUGGCCCUGCCACCUGCACUGUCACUGCAGUUCCUGGGCAGGAAGAAAUGCUGGUUAGUCCCUCAGCAUGCAGAUGCAGGCAUGGUGACGGUGAGUCUUUGUACAUGGUUCCCAAGGAUGAAAAUACUGAGAAGUAAAUAUGCCCAGACUCAGAGUUGGAAGUGGGAAAGUUUAUUGAAAGUGUAAGAGAAAGAAACUCCCCAUCAGGGAGGAACUUAGUAGGACUAAGCUCGCUUAUUAAGACUCAUUGUAGAAACUUUUGAGGGGAACUGGGUCUUUCUAUUUCUUAUCAAAGUCUCCAAGGACUCUGUUUGUUUCCCAGAGAUACCCCACAUAGGGCAUAUUUGUGUUGCCAAGGUCCAUGAACAUUUCACAUUCCCGCUUAGGCUGGCGGGGCUGUCUGUUUACUUAAGACCUUUUAGAGGAUGUAUUUCACCACAUACCAGGUAUUGCCCUGUUAUCUCUUAGUCUCCUGUGAGCACAAGACCUGGGGCAGAAUUUAUGGUCUUGGGAAAUGUAAACUUCUCAUUCUCAGAAAGAACCCAGGAAUUUGCAAGAAUGUUUAAAAGGUACAAUGGGGCCAGGGAGACAGCACCACGAGGAGGGCAUUGACCUGGUAUCUCUGACACCCACAUGAUUCCCCAAGCCCACCAAGAGUGAUCCCUGAAUGCAGAGCCAAGAGCAAGCCCUGAGCACCUCUGGGUGUGGCCACAAAACAAAAAAACAAAACAAAAGUAUAACAAAGACAGUUAAGAUGAAACUGCUCAUGGCAGCCAGCAGGGAAAACUGAGGUUUGCUCUUUCAUACUGGCCUCUUCCCUUUCCCCCGUAUCCCUGAUGUUUUUAUGCUAACUCCCUUCUCUGCUGUUUGGAGAAGCUCUGCUUUCCCUCGGGACCAUCUCCGGGAAGCCUCCUCAGCCCCUCUCCGGCUGUUCCCCAUCUCCAUGGCAUUUGCACUGGACUAAUGAACUUGCCAAGAUCAGCUUAGAAUCCACCUUUGAUGGAGUUGUGGAGGGACGUCCAAUGUUAGUGGGAAUGUCAUCUGGUUCAGCCCCUGUGGAAAGCAAAAUGGGGGUCUCUUAAUAAAAUAGGAAAAGGACUCCCAUAUGAACCAGCAAUACCACUUGGCAUCCACUCCACAAACACAAAAACAUUAGAAAGGGCAUAUUCACCACACUUAGUACAAUAGCUAAGAUAUAGAAAUAACCAAAUGCCCUGCUCUGGGUCAAGAGAUCGUGAUUAUUAUAUAUACACACAUGUAUAUGUGUAUAUAUACACAUAUUUACGUAUAUAUACAUAUCACAGAUCAUCCUGUUAUUCGUCGAUUGCCUCGAGCAGGCCCCAGUAACGUCUCCUUCAUCCUGGCCCUGA